UCCUGCAGACUUCAACUCCUAAUACCAUCACAUUGCGGGUCAAGAUUUCAAAAUAUAACUGUGGGGAUACAAACAUUCAGUCUAUAACAUCCUUCAUAAUUUUCACAAAGGUUAUCAAUGCACAUUUAACUUGUGCAUUUAACUACAACGGAAAUACUGUUAUGCAGAGCAUCUUGGAAGCUUAUGUAAAAAAGAUCGAGAAGAAAAAAGACUAUAUUCCUUUUGUACAUGUAUGCAACAAUUAAGUAAUGGAUUUUCGCUCAACAAACUUGCAAAGCACAUGUUUGGCUGCUAUGACAUUUCUACUGCAUGAAGUCCCUUGUGACUCUGGUCCCUUUUCUUGAGUCUGAGGGUGAAAUUACACUGAAAGUUACCCUCUUGACAGUCAGGUUUUCUUGACAUCAACCUGAAGCUGAAGAUUACUGUGCAAUAAAUUUAUUAGGAAUUACUCUUGAGAUCUAUGCUUUAGUGGGAAGAGGAGGAAGCAACAUUGCACAGAGGCUGCAGUGCUGUGAUAACAAGGUCACCAGACUGUGGGGAGCUCUGGAGUUCUGAUGUCCUUGCAGAGUUGCCCGGAGGUGGCCCCAAGGACUGGACCUUUCCACCACACUAAUCUCUCAUUUGAUGCAAGCUGCUAUGAAAAUGUGAUGGUCUAAUUUCAAAUUUCAGGCAGAAAUAAGGAGAAAAGUAUGAAUGAGAUAAAUAUGUGUACUAGACC
ensembl:lincRNA